rnacentral:rRNA from 1 species
GAUGAACGCUGGCGGCGUGCCUAAUACAUGCAAGUCGAACGAAACUUCUUUAUCACCGAGUGCUUGCACUCACCGAUAAAGAGUUGAGUGGCGAACGGGUGAGUAACACGUGGGCAACCUGCCCAAAAGAGGGGGAUAACACUUGGAAACAGGUGCUAAUACCGCAUAACCAUAGUUACCGCAUGGUAACUAUGUAAAAGGUGGCUAUACUACCGCUUUUGGAUGGGCCCGCGGCGCAUUAGCUAGUUGGUAGGGUAAAGGCUUACCAAGGCAAUGAUGCGUAGCCGAAUUGAGAGGGUGAUCGGCCACAUUGGGACUGAGCCACGGCCCGAACUCCUACGGGAGGCAGCAGUAGGGAAUCUUCCACAAUGGGCGAAAGCCUGAUGGAGCAACGCCGCGUGGGUGAAGAAGGUCUUCGGAUCGUAAAACCCUGUUGUUAGGGAAGAAAGUGCGUGAGAGUAACUGUUCACGUUUCGACGGUAUCUAACCAGAAAGCCACGGCUAACUACGUG